rnacentral:rRNA from 1 species
UAGGGAAUCUUCCGCAAUGGACGCAAGUCUGACGGAGCAACGCCGCGUGAGUGAAGAAGGAUUUCGGUUCGUAAAACUCUGUUGUUAGAGAAGAACAGCGCAUAGAGUAACUGUUAUGCGUGUGACGGUAUCUAACCAGAAAGCCACGGCUAACUACGUGCCAGCAGCCGCGGUAAUACGUAGGUGGCAAGCGUUGUCCGGAUUUAUUGGUCGUAAAGCGAGCGCAGGCGGUCAAUUAAGUCUGAUGUGAAAGCCACCGGCUCAACCGGGGAGGGUCAAUGGAAACUGGUGGACUUGAGUGAAGAAGAGGAGAGUGGAAUUCCAGGUGUAGCGGUGAAAUGCGAAGAUAUAUGGAGGAAAACAAGUGGCGAAGGAGACGCUAUGGUAUGAAACUGACGCUGAGGUUAGAAAGCGUGGGUAGCAAAAAGG